UAACAGCAAACUUCCGGCGUUGUUUCUAUUAAAACCGAAACUACGUAAUAGUAAAAGUAUUUUCUCUAGUGCUUGUAAAUCCAUAAAAGUUAGAGAAAAAAUGAGCUAUGAUAUAUUUUUAAAUACAUCGUUGGCAAAGUAUCAGAAUCCAGGAAGUACCAAAACUGAAGUUAAAGAGGUGAUGUCAGUAUUUCAAGACUUGAGGCCAAAGUUAGAAGAAACUA